CGAGCGUUAAUCGGAAUUACUGGGCGUAAAGCGUGCGCAGGCGGUUUGGUAAGUCAGAUGUGAAAUCCCCGGGCUCAACCUGGGAACUGCAUUUGAGACUGCCAAGCUGGAGUUUGGCAGAGGGGGGUGGAAUUCCACGUGUAGCAGUGAAAUGCGUAGAGAUGUGGAGGAACACCGAUGGCGAAGGCAGCCCCCUGGGCCAAUACUGACGCUCAUGCACGAAGCGUGGGGAGCAAACAGGAUUAGAUACCCUGGUAGUCCACGCCCUAAACGAUGUCAACUAGGUGUUGGGAGGGUUAAACCUUUUAGUGCCGUAGCUAACGCGUGAAGUUGACCGCCUGGGGAGUACGGCCGCAAGGCUAAAACUCAAAGGAAUUGACGGGGACCCGCACAAGCGGUGGAUGAUGUGGAUUAAUUCGAUGCAACGCGAAAAACCUUACCUACCCUUGACAUGUCAGGAAUCCUGGAGAGAUCUGGGAGUGCUCGCAAGAGAACCUGAACACAGGUGCUGCAUGGCUG
rnacentral:rRNA from 1 species